CGGUUACGGGGGAUUAGGGUUCGAUUCCGGAGAGGGAGCCUGAGAAACGGCUACCACAUCUAAGGAAGGCAGCAGGCGCGCAAAUUACCCAAUUCUAACAGCAUAAGAGAGGUAGUGACAAGAAAUAACAGUACAAGGCAGUUAAAAUGCUUUGUAAUUGGAAUGAUAGAAAUUUAAAUACUUUUUAAAGUAUCAAUUGGAGGGCAAGUCUGGUGCCAGCAGCCGCGGUAAUUCCAGCUCCAAUAGCGUAUAUUAAAAUUGUUGCAGUUAAAAAGCUCGUAGUUGAAUUUCUGCUAAAAAUAACCGGUCUGCUUUUAUUAAUAAAAGUGGUAUCUUGGUGUGUUUUUAGCAAUAAUGUCCUUUGAAAUGUUUUUUACUUUAUUGUUAAAAGCAAAUUUUAGGAUUUUUACUUUGAGAAAAUUAGAGUGUUUCAAGCAGGCUAACGUUUUGAAUACUGCAGCAUGGAAUAAUAAAAUAGGAUUUUAGUUCUACGUUAUUGGUUUUAAGAA
rnacentral:rRNA from 1 species